rnacentral:rRNA from 1 species
AGAGUUUGAUCCUGGCUCAGAACGAACGCUGGCGGCAUGCCUCACACAUGCAAGUUGAGCGAGAACCAAGGGGCUUGCUCUUUGGGGAAAGCAGCGCACGGGUGAGUAACGCGUGGAUAACGUGCCCUGGGGUUUGGGAUAACCCACCGAAAGGUGGGCUAAUACAGAAUGUGUUCCAAGAGAGUUAGCUUUUUUGGAAGAAAGUGGGGCAACCCACGCCCGAGGAUCGGUCCGCGUUCCAUCAGCUAGUUGGUGGGGUAAAGGCCUACCAAGGCUACGACGGAUAGCUGGUCUGAGAGGAUGAUCAGCCACACUGGGACUGAGACACGGCCCAGACUCCUACGGGAGGCAGCAGUGGGGAAUAUUGGUCAAUGGGCGAAAGCCUGAACCAGCAAUGCCGCGUGAGUGAUGGAGGCCUUCGGGUUGUUUAACUCUGUCAGCGGGAACGAAGAAGCCGGUUAAGACCCGGCGGUGACGUACCCGCAAAGGAAGCCCCG